GUCUCCGUAGCUCAGCUGGAUAGAGCGCACGCCUCCUAAGCGUGAGGUCGCAGGUUCAAAUCCCGCCGGGGACGCCA
rnacentral:tRNA from 1 species